CUUCAAAAACAAAGUCCAAUUGCCUUGUGAAAAAGCAGCCUUGGGAUAGCAGGAAACAUUGUGGUUGAAAAUGGCUGCUGGAUCCAGACUGUUGAUAUCUCUCUGGAGAAAGGAGAGAGCUUGAGAUAGCCCAUUUAUAUACUGGACAGUUGGGUUUCUUCUUACCUUCCUGAAAUUACUUUGGAGAAUUAGGAGACCCUCUGAAGUAUAAGUGGAAAAAUACAGAUGUAGCAGGGAAGUGGGAAAAGAGACCCUCUUUGGGGGAACUAGGAGCAGUGAAAACCUCAGAGAACGCAACGCAACAAUAAACUUAUUGAUUCUAAGCAAGAGACAUUGGCAUGAUCUUGGAUGUCACCCUGUGCUGAGACCCAGAACCUCUUUUUCAGUCUCUGAAAGAGCCUCUUACAGAGCCUCUUUUUCAAUGUCUGAAGUUUAUAACAACUGCUCCUCAUCCAGAAGUCAGAAACACCACGAAAAAGGAAGCCCUAGAAAUUAUUCUGAAGCUCCAGAGAAUAAAAGCACUUCCUGACAGGUUCAAGUCUUUAUGUUGUUAUUCCUUCAUUUCUCCAUCCCUUCUUCCUGGAUUGCUUUUGUCUUCUGGGAGAUUCCUUGGUACCACUGUAGUUCGAAAAGCUUCCUAUGUCCAAUUC